GAUGAACGCUGGCGGCGUGCCUAAUACAUGCAAGUCGAGCGAACAGACGAGGAGCUUGCUCCUCUGACGUUAGCGGCGGACGGGUGAGUAACACGUGGAUAACCUACCUAUAAGACUGGGAUAACUUCGGGAAACCGGAGCUAAUACCGGAUAAUAUAUUGAACCGCAUGGUUCAAUAGUGAAAGACGGUUUUGCUGUAACUUAUAGAUGGAUCCGCGUCGCAUUAGCAAGUUGGUAAGGUAACGGCUUACCAAGGCAACGAUGCAUAGCCGACCUGAGAGGGUGAUCGGCCACACUGGAACUGAGACACGGUCCAGACUCCUACGGGAGGCGGCAGUAGGGAAUCUUCCGCAAUGGGCGAAAGCCUGACGGAGCAACGCCGCGUGAGGGAUGAAGGUCUUCGGAUCGUAAAACUCUGUUAUUAGGGAAGAACAAAUGUGUAAGUAACUAUGCACGUCUUGACGGUACCUAAUCAGAAAGCCACGGCUAACUACGUG
rnacentral:rRNA from 1 species